AACAGUUUGAAUUUAUUUGAUGAAUGUAUGAGAUACUACUUGGAUAACCGUAGUAAUUCUAGAGCUAAUACACGCAACGACGCCCGACCGUUUCACUACGGAAGGGCUGUAUUUAUUGGAUACCAAAACCAUCCUUCCCUCGGGAAGUUUUGUUUCAUGAUUCACAAUAACUGAUCGGAUCGCCACUGUGGUGGCGACAGGUCACUCAACAUUCUGCCCUAUCAGCUUUCGAUGGUUGUGUAGUGGACAACCAUGGCCAUAACGGGUAACGGAGAAUCAGGGUUCGAUUCCGGAGAAGGAGCUUGAGAAUUGGCUACUACAUCUAAGGAAGGCAGCAGGCGCGCAAAUUACCCAAUCCCGAUUCGGGGAGGUAGUGACAAAAAUAACAAUACCGGGCCUUUUUGGGCUUGGUAAUUGGAAUGAGGGAGAGUUAAACGGACCAUCGAGUAUCCAUUGGAGGGCAAGUCUGGUGCCAGCAGCUGCGGUAAUACCAGCUCCAAUAGCGUAUAUUAAAGUUGUUGCAGUUAAAAAGCUCGUAGUUGGACUUGUGUGCGCUGUCCGCGGGUGGCCUGCGCCCAAAAGGGCGUUUCGGUUCGGCCCCGGUGGCGCCUUGAAAUCUGCAGCUGGGGGGACGUUGGCCUUAACUGGUCGGCGACCGCACGCCGGCUGCUCGGUUACUGUGAGAAAAUUAGAGUGUUCAAGGCAGGCAUUGGGUGCAAUUGCAUACAUUAGCAUGGAAUAAUAAAAUAUGGCUCCUGCCGUAUUUUGUUGGUUUUGACUGGUGGGAGUAAUGAUUGAUAGGGACGGUUGGGGGUGCUAGUAUUGAGCGGCCAGAGGUGAAAUUCAUGGAUUCGCUCAAGACUAACUUAUGCGAAAGCAUUCACCAAGGACGUCCUCUUUAAUCAAGAACGAAAGUUGGGGGAUCGAAGACGAUCAGAUACCGUCGUAGUCUCAACCAUAAACUAUGUCGACUUGGGAUCGGCGGUAGUUUUUUCAUUAAGACACUGUCGGGACCACGGGAGAAAUCAAAGUGUCUGGACUCUGGGGGAAGUAUGGUCGCAAGGCUGAAACUUGAAGGAAUUGACGGAAGGGCACCACCAGGAGUGGAGCCUGCGGCUUAAUUUGACACAACACGGGGAAACUUACCAGGUCCAGAGAUGUAGAGGAUUGACAGAUUGAAGCUCUUUCUUGAUCACUUCGGUGGUGGUGCAUGGCCGUUCUUAGUUGGUGGAGUGAUUUGUCUGGUUA
rnacentral:rRNA from 1 species